GGCCUCAUCGUCUAGCGGCUAGGACGUGACCCUUUCACGGUCAAAACCGGAGUUCGAUUCUCCGUGAGGUCA
rnacentral:tRNA from 1 species